rnacentral:rRNA from 1 species
GGUGAACGCUGGCGGCGGGCCUAAUACAUGCAAGUCGAGCGGCCGGACGAGAAGCGUGCUUCUCUGAUGUUAGCGGCACGGGGGAGGAAGACGUGGAUAACCUACCUAUAAGACUGGGGUAACUUCGGGUAAGCGGAGCUAAUACCGGAUAAUAUUUGGAACAGCAUGGUUCAAAAGUGAUAGACGGUCUUGCUGCCACUGAUAGAUGGAUCCACGCUGCAUUAGCUAGUUGGUAAGGUAACGGCUUACCAAGGCAACGAUGCAUAGCCGACCUGAGAGGGUGAUCGGCCACACUGGAACUGAGGCACGGUCCAGACUCCUACGGGAGGCAGCAGUAGGGAAUCUUCCACAAUGGGCGAAAGCCUGACGCAGCCACGCCGCGUGAGUGAUGAAGGUCUUCGGAUCGUAAAACUCUGUUAUUAGGGAAGAACAUAUGUGUAUGUAACUCUGCACAUCCUGACGGUACCUAAUCAGAAAGCCACGGCUAACUUCGUG